rnacentral:SRP_RNA from 2 species
GCUGGGCAUGGUGGCGCAUGCCUGUAAUCCCAGCUACUUGGAAGGCUGAGGCAGGAGAAUCGCUUGAACCUGGGAGGCAGAGGUUGCAGUGAGCAGAGAUCAUGCCACUGCACUUCAGCCUGGGUGACAGAGGGAGACCCUGUCUCCA